rnacentral:rRNA from 1 species
AGAAUGAACCGGCGAGUUACGAUUUGAUGCAAGGUUAAGCAGUAAAUGUGGAGCCGUAGCGAAAGCGAGUCUGAAUAGGGCGUUUAGUAUUUGGUCGUAGACCCGAAACCAGGUGAUCUACCCUUGGUCAGGUUGAAGUUCAGGUAACACUGAAUGGAGGACCGAACCGACUUACGUUGAAAAGUGAGCGGAUGAACUGAGGGUAGCGGAGAAAUUCCAAUCGAACCUGGAGAUAGCUGGUUCUCUCCGAAAUAGCUUUAGGGCUAGCCUCAAGUGAUGAUUAUUGGAGGUAGAGCACUGUUUGGACGAGGGGCCCCUCUCGGGUUACCGAAUUCAGACAAACUCCGAAUGCCAAUUAAUUUAACUUGGGAGUCAGAACAUGGGUGAUAAGGUCCGUGUUCGAAAGGGAAACAGCCCAGACCACCAGCUAAGGUCCCAAAAUAUAUGUUAAGUGGAAAAGGAUGUGGCGUUGCCCAGACAACUAGGAUGUUGGCUUAGAAGCAGCCAUCAUUUAAAGAGUGCGUAAUAGCUCACUAGUCGAGUGACACUGCGCCGAAAAUGUACCGGGGCUAAACAUAUUACCGAAGCUGUGGAUUGUCCUUUGGACAAU